UGCGGUUCCAGGACAGAGACGCAACUUUCGCUUCAUUGUUUUGACACCUCUGAGCUGCAGGGACUCGAUGUUUUCUACCUGCAGCCAUGAGUCAGAUUAGACUUUCCAUGCGUUCGACGGCCUGCGCUUGCACGUCUGUGUGUGUCUAUUUGCUGUAGUGUGUCUGUGUACUCCUGCGCGUGUGUUUGCGUUCCCUACGCUUGAUAAGUGUAAAGAAACUAGGACACGACGUCUGCAAAGGGGCCGUUCUAAUUCUGUCCAGCUCGGCUCCCUGCUGCACUCUGCUCCUCCAUCACCCCUGACAUUUCCACCAGCAACCUCCGGGGGACGUGCAGACCCAUGUGGAUGGCUGCAGCGAGACGGCGGACCUGACAGAGCGCUGCGAGCUGAUCAGUGAUAGGCUGCUGACCUUGGAAGAUGAAUUGCAGACGGCCGUACUGAACCGGGACUGUGUCCUUACCCAUAUCCUUUCACUGUUCUCUAAAUAUACUGUAUGCUACCUGUGCGUGUUUCUGUCUUUGUCCAUCCAUCUUCAGGACCUAGUUUCCUCGAGGUCUUUACACUCUAAAAAAAGCACACAGCCGAACUACCUUUAGGCCCUCUGAUGUUCUGUGACUUUACCUUUUGUGAGGGAAAAAAAAAAUCAACCUGUCUUAUUUGACAUUAUGGGACCAUUCAGCUAAGGAAUUGCAGAUAAACUGGGAUCAGAGGAUCUUUCUUGACAUGCCUGCUGAAAAAUGGUAAAAGUCCUCGUGAGCUUAUUGGGGGGCGCUUGAUGUGGGCUGCCAG
ensembl:lncRNA